rnacentral:tRNA from 1 species
CGACGUGGCUCAACUGGUAGAGCAACCGCCUUGUAAGCGGUAGGUUGGGGGUUCAAGUCCCUCCGUCGGC